CCUACGGGUGGCAGCAGUGGGGAAUCUUGCGCAAUGGGCGAAACCCUGAUGCAGCGACGCCGCGUGAGUGAUGAAGUUCCUCGGUACGUAAAGCUCUGUUAUUAGGGAAGAACAUGACUGUAACUGACUAAGAACAUCUUGCCAACUACGUGUCAGCAGCCGCGGUCAUACUAAGGGGGCGAGCGCUAUCCGGAUUUUCUGGGGGGAAAGUGAGCGGAGACGGUUGCGCAAGUCUGGAGUGAAAUCCCUGGGCUUAACCCCGGAACGGCAUUGGAAACUGUGCGGCGGGAGUGCAGGAGGGGUAAGUGGAAUGCCUAGUGUAGCGGUGAAAUGCGUAGAGAUAAGGAGGAACACCGGUGGCGAAGGCGGCUUACUGGACUGUAACUGACGUUGAGGCUCGAAAGCGUGGGGAGCAAACAGGAUUAGAUACCCGUGUAGUC
rnacentral:rRNA from 1 species